AGCACUUGAGCUUCCCAUUCCUGGUUCCUAGGAAAUGGGGGUGAGCAAACUGCAGGUUCUUUAUCCCGUUUCUAAAAAGCAGAUGUCUUCCCCCAAAUGAUCCUGGGAAUUGUACUUUGUUAGGGGUUAUGGGGAUUGUAAGUCUGUGAGAAGGAAGCCACAAAGGCACGAAUCCUUUCGGGGGAAGUCAUAUGCUUUAAAGGUGCAUUGGAUGCUCUUUAAAACAUAGCACCAUAGAAUUGUAGAGUUGGAAGGGACCCCGAGGGUCCAACCCCCUACAAUGAAGGAAUCUCAACUAGAUGAUCCAUGGCUGAUGGCCAUCCAAGCCCUGCUUAAAAACAUCCAAGGAAGGAGAGUCACUGCUUCAGGCCCUAAGGGCCUCUGGAGCAGGUGAAAACAAACUUGUUCCAUCCUCCAUGUGACAGCCCUUUAGACUUUAGUUAUUGAAAGGGCUGCAUGGUGUGGAUUUCAUAUCAGUGUUAUUAGUGUGUAAGCAACACAUUUCUCUCUCCCUUAUCCCCACACCAUGCAGAAUUGCAAUGGUAACCAGAAGGCUGGAGUUUGGAGCCCAGCCAGGACUGGCUAUGGGCAGGAUUCUUGCAUUGCCGGGGGUUGGACUAGAUGACCCUUGGGAUCUCUUCCAACCCUGCCAUGCUAUAAUUAUAUCAAGCAGCUAAAGGAACAAAAAGAUGUUUCUGAAACAUUUAGGAAUCAUAGAACACUCUCCCCACCAGUGGCUUCCAGCAAGAGCUUGCAUCUUUCUUAGGAGAGAGGCAGUCCAGAACAAGGUGGGAAAGGCUCAGAGUUCAGGUAGGUGGAAAUGCCAAUUGAGUGCCGUAUACUAUAGGAAUGCUUCCUUCCUGUGUCCCCCACCCUCAUGCGCCAUACUGGUGCUAGUAUGGCUGGGAGCCAGGCACUGCUGAUUCCUCCAUUUUCUUUGCAGGGAGGGAGCCUUUCCCCAACAUAUACUUUGUUCUGGCCAAAUCCCUGGAGAGACGUGAUGACCCUCAGGUACUGGGGCAGAGGGAAGGAAGGGAUCCUUGUGGGACACAUUUGGGGAGUCUGUGGCUUCCAGCAAGUGCUUUUCAGAAGCAUUGCUCUCUCCAACAGGUGAGGCUGAACAUAACCAUCACGACUAGUUGCCUUUGAUAGGCCUCUCCUCCAUGCAAUUGUCUAGCCUUUGAAAGCCAUCCCAUCCAAGAUGUUCUUGUGGUGCAUCUGAUUCUCCUAUGCUUCCUUGCUCCUGCAAGGAGAUGACUAUUAUGAGAUCCUUGGGUUAACAUCUGUCUGGGCUGGAAAAUAUUAAAGAAUCAGAGGUCUGGUGAGCUUCCCUUGAAGCACAACUGAUCAAAGGCAGGCAGAUCUGUUAGCAUCUUGAUAAAGAUGCUCAAACGACAAAGGAUGCUAUCAUACCCCGCAAGUGUCUCAGAAAAAGCUCCCAAGCUGAUGGAGAAGAGAGCAGUUAAGUGCUCAGUGGGGCUCCAGGUUGCCGUUUCUGGAUCCCACCACAGCCCUUCCAAGUUGCCAAAGAAAUCAAUGUCACAACAGUUUUUUCCUCGCACCUCCUCCCCAUGAUCCCAUGUGGGGUCUUCUCAGACAUAUGCUGUGUCUGAACCAGCAGAUCCCACCAAACCAAGUAAUCGAGGACCCAGUCAGAGAAGGAGUCUGCACAGUCAUACCAGAAAUAAGCAAAACAACUAAACAGGUACUAGACGUUACCCCAGAACUGGCCCUACUGAACAUCUUUCAUGAUAACAAUGCCCACUCACACCAUAAAGAGCUCAUAACCCACUGACAGCAUAUGAUUCAAUAUGGCUAACUUAAUCCGACAACCUCCUCACCCACGCACAAGCAAAUCCCACUGCAGCCAGCCAAAGAUGAUCAACCACAUAUAACAAGCGAAUAGAAAGAGAACUUCCCCAAGUGACGCUGACAGAAAACCCCCAAGCAUACAGUAAAUAUAAGAACUUCAGCUUUGCCACCCCAUUUCAUCUCUCCCGCCUCCACCCCCCUUCCAGGGCCAGAUUUAGAUGAAGAGAGGCCUUAGACUACUCUACUUGUGAGACCCUUUGCAGUCCCCCACCCUCACACCUACAAGAAAAUGGAAGAGUGUUAUAAACAAAAUUAAAGCCAAGGAUGAUGAUGGGUAUUUACAGUUUUGCAAUUCACAAUUUCUCCUCUAAAGGACAUCAGAAAACUUCAUCAAAAUUUGUUUGUCUAAGUUUGUCACUUUCAAUGUACAGAAUACUCAGUGUGGACAAUCUCUUUUGAGACAUCGAGGCCCUUAAUUCAUUUUCAAUUCUUUUGAGUCUUGAAAAACGCCUCCCUCCCGAGCAGUUAGUGACCAUAUAGCUAAGAAAUAUCUGCAUCUGAAUUUUUUCCUUGUAUAUAAUUUGAUAAAGGUCUGUAUGAGACAGAGAGUGCUCUGCUGUAAGCCUAUGGCUUUGUCUCACAGGUGAAAGUGCAGAAGUUCAUCAAUAAGUUUCAGGUCAAUAUCUUCUGGGUAUGCUUUCAUCAACAGUUCAACACCUUGCUGAAUUUCUUGCUUAGAUGCUAUCAGAAUAGCAAGAACGGAAAAACAAUUGUGCAACAUCACUGUAUACAGUACUUCUUUUAAACUUGGCUUCAAGUGCAUCUAAUAUAGGAAUAAAGGAUUUUAUCCUAAACUUAUCUCUUGACGAAAGUGCAUCUUAAGGCAUCAGGUGCACUUCUGUCAUUUCUUUGCUGUCCCCUCACUCUUUGUCUCCUUCUUUUGUAGUUAACAUUUGGCAAGGUGGCUUUUGUUUGUUUCUCAAGCUCAUCAAAAUCUUCUCUUUAAAAAAUCCAAAAGUGAACUGUACAAACUUGCACAAGAACUCAAUAACAGGUCUGAUUUCUGAAGGGCUUUGCUGACCUUGUGAAAAUGACCUAGCACAUCGAUUUAUAUCUCUAAGAUUCUGCAGAUUUUGGCUGUGAACUAGGGCCCCACAAAUAUUUUUCAAGUUGGUCCCUAGAGUUUCAAACUGGGACCCACUGGCUGGCCCGGAGUCUCAUAGUUGCUGGGCCUGAGUUACCCUGCCCUCGCAUGAAGUCUUGGGUUUACAAUUUUGGGAGAGGGGAGACUGCCCGCUGGGGGGGCGGGCAGGCUGGGGAGCCCUUCUAGAUUUAGAGGCCCUAGGUUUCAGCCUACUUGGCCUAUACAUAAAUCCAGCACUGCUUCUGUAACCUGAUGGUGCAUCCUGGAACUUAAAAAUCUAUGACCCAUGGUGUGUUGGAAGAUCAGUAGUAAUGCGGGAAAGCUAUAUUUCAAGAAUUUUGUCUUCUGCUAAUGUUCUAAUUGACAUCCUCUUAAUAAGCUUCUGAGGAGUAUCACGGGCCACUAGAACACAGUUUGCAAUUCACUGCUCUUGUCUUGAAAUCUGUGUUGUCCCUACCAUCCCAAGAGGCUAUCUCAGCAACCAGUUAAUCUAGUUAAUUAGAUUCUCGAGUUUUCAUUUUCAGUUCAUUUAUUUAUUUAAUAUUUUUAUGUCUCACCUUUUAGGGCAAAAAUGCCCCUAAGGUAGUUUUCAAACAUUUAAAACUAAUGAAAAUAUUUUGAUAGGUAGACAGACAAAGCCAUAUGUAUUUUAGGGAGAGACUUCACUUUCUCUGAUAUCUCCUAAUCUAAUUAACUUUCAUUGCAGGCCAGAGAGCAGGCCAUGCAGAUUCAUAUGAGUGUAGGUAGUCUAAAUACAAUUCUCCUUUAAUUUCACAGGAUAUGGAAGCGAAUGGGCCAUUUUCUUUAAAAUGUGCCCAGGUCUUAUGGUGACUGUCUAGGUCCUAGUGUUCUUCUCAAGUAUAACUGUUCCAGACAUAAUCCUGGCUUGACUAUAGCUUGCUGCUGCGGAUAUAGCUAAGUGUUCAACAAACUCAUUUACAAGCAAUUUUACUAUUUAGGUGAAUUUGCACAUGAUGUUUUGGUUAGUUUUCUUUGGAACUCUUAAGGGAAAUCAUUAGUACAUAUCUUCUAUAGCCUUUCUCAAAGGGUACAUUAGUGCUCAUCCACACUUCCUUCUGCACCAUGCUUUGCAUGGAAAACCUGUUUGCUGUUUGCUCCAGUUCAGCAGUAAAAUACAGGUUUUCUCAGGGAAUGCACUGGGACAAAAAAUUCCAUCCUGCUGUGACACAGAACUUUAAAGCCCAGGCCUGUGCCUAGAAAUGUGGCACAAAAGGGAGGCUGGAUGAGCCCUUAGUAUAGCCUUUUUUGAAUUAGCUUUUUUGAGGGUGGUAGAAACAACAACAAUAAUAAUAAUGGCAGUUAAAGAACAUCUUUGCCUUUUCAGCAACAGCCCUUUCAGCCUUUGCUAGGUAUCAGUAUUACAUAGAGUCUAUCAUGGAAGUGAGCCUGCUUAGAAAAGAUUUUAUUUUUAAUAGUGAAAAUGAAAGAGUGCAGGGGAAGAUGUGAAAUGCUUUUUAAAGCUGUUUUAAUGACAGUUUUAUUUUAUUUUUUUAAAGUAGGCUGACAAAAAGGAACAAACUGAAGCAUUUUUGAUAACCUAGUGUCUUGUUUCUUUCCAGAUGCCUUUCUCUCUCCAAACAAUUCAGCAUCAGAUUCUUCCAGCUACAAGCUGCCAAGUUAAAAGCAAUAACAGACUGUAGGCUCCUGGAAAAGGCUGAUGUUUGUAAUGUGUUUAUAGUUAGUGAACAUUAAAAUUUUCCUACCACACUGUGGGUGCAAACCCACCUUCUAUCCAAGUCACUGGCAAAAAUCCCACUGAUUGUAAUUGAUCUGAAGGUUUUGAAGAUAGGGUUGCAUGUUGAAUUGUGCUGCGUCCAAGCGGUUUGUCAUAAUGUAUGCUGUUGUGGGGAGAUUAAAGACUGCAUCAGCUUGCAUGAAUUCUGUGGUGAAGGAUGGUUAUGUCUGAAAUCAUUUCCCCUCCUUUCUCUUUUACUAUUAAGUGAACAACACGACUGGAGUUAAUACUUCUGUUUAACUCUGCAUGUUGCUGCCUAAUACUACUUAUUCAAGGAGAAGAGGACAUGUGCCCAUUUAAUCCUUAAGAUACCAGAAAUAAUUUUAGGUUUAUCGGCUAGUGUUGUAGUGUUUUGCAGUGAUUUAGCUGUUCACAGGAUCAGGUGUACCCUAGUGAUGAGGCAUGAUCCCAGUUGUUUAUUGGCAAGGAUUUGCAAGUAAAACAUGGUGUGUGUCUGUGUGGUUUAUCGAGUACAAUUGCUCAAAGAAUAUUCUUUUAAAGGAACAUCUAGAAAACCUGAUUUCACACCCACAACUUUUACUGGAUUUGUCAUGGAUGCUGGCCUCCUGAGGCACAGUACUCCUCCAUAACCAUAAGAUCCAUGGUUGUGGUACCUACAGGAAGGACUGUAGCCCAGUAGUAGAGCAUAUGCAGCCUCCCAGAGAGGCUUUACUGUAGCCAGUUUUUAUCAGGCAGAGAAAACAGGGUUGAGGAAGGGAGAAUUUGAGGUUCAGGAACUGCCAGAUCCAGGACACUGUUGGAGCAGAAGGGUGUUUCUCCCCUUAUCUUUUCGCUGUAUGUGGCCUUUAAAAAAUGUUUCAGUGUAAUAGAAAAUAAGUAUCCCAUCCCAGAUUGGCAUACUACCCACAUUCCAGAAUGUGUUGAAAUGACAUCUGAUCAAGAUGCAGCGGCAGAAUCCCACCUUUUUUGCCUUUUCUUCUAAGGAGGUAUUGAUGGUGAACCUUUCUGUGGCGGUUGGGAGAAGGUUUCCAAGGGCAGGAUUCCCCCUCAUAGGUAGAGAAGUUAAUUUUACUAGUUCUGCUAUUAUGCAAUUUUGAAGAAUGUUCUACUGUUUUAAUAUUUUGGUUUUGAUGCACAGUUGUUUUAAUUGAUUGUUUUAAUUGUUCUGUGCUCCAGAACCCUUUGGGGUUAACAAGUAUGAGCUACAAACAAAACAUCUCAAAUAAGAAGAAAUUUUAAAAAUUGCAUUGUUGAAAAAUAUGCACAU
rnacentral:lncRNA from 1 species